GCUUGGUUCAGGGUCCAAAUGGACUGGGGUAUUACAAGGCCAGCCUAUUGUAGAUCCUUUGAUAGAUCUACAUGAUGGUGGGGAUCCAUUGUCACGGGGUCCAUUGGGGAUAAGAUGGAGAGAUGCUUUUUCGAUGAUGGAGGUAUCGACACAUGUGCUCAGUUCUUACCGAUACUACCUCAAUCGAUAGAGACCAGAGCAUGUGAUAUGGCAGCCAUAUACUCAUGAUAUUAUGGCUAGGCUACUUGAUUAUUGUUUAGAUGGGCAGGAUAUAUAGUGUACCCGAGUACCACUCAUUUAUUUUCAUAUCGUAGAGUGGUACUUUACUGAUAGAGUGCUGUGACAGUUUGGGAUUCGCUAGCCUGUUCCUGUGUAGUGUGACACAAAUGCGAGACUAUACCACAUGGACUUGAGAGGGUGAGUUGAUCAGGAUUGGUCCAUCAUUCAUCAGUACUAUAUUCAGAUGUGGGAGAGCCGUCGAUAUUACAUCGUAUUUGGUGAUCUCAUAGAUGGUACCAUGGAUUUUCAUAAUCUGUACAUGCAGUGGUACCGCGGCAUCAUCCGACAGUUUAUUAGUCGUAGUCAUGCGAUGUUCGAUUUUCUAGUAUAGGUUUAGGAUUUCUUUAUUAAAUAUUGUUCAUUUUCAUUAAUUUAUUUCGCACUACUUAUUAUGUACUUAUAUAUGUCAGAGUGACGGCAUGACGAGGAUAUAUUAGCUUGCUCAUCCUGAUUCUAUAUCCACGACCUCGCAGCCGAUCAUGGACAUUUGCAACACCAUCCUCCAUGCUGUCGACGAGCAUACUCGUCUUCAGAUAGGUGUCUUCGCUCAUGACUUUGGCACAGAGGAUGAGACUCCUUCACCGUUUGCAUAUCCAUCGUCGUCGGUAGCACCUCCAGUUUGGCAGAGAUGUGGUAUUCAAUGGCAUAGUACCUCUCCACAUCUAAUGCCAGAGUUUUCUUCGUUCACAUAGUACACACUACCGCCACUCGCAUUGACGAUGAUGUGACACAGUUCACAUAUACUGAGGGUGUUUCUAUGCAUUUUGCAUAUGCAGCGGAUGACAUGAUCCACCAUAAAUACUCAUAUGAUGGAGAGUAUUCAGCCGAGGGAGUCACCCAGGAGGCCAUCACUCAGGAGGCUAUCACUUAGGAGGCUGUCACCCGAGUAGGGCAUCCAACAGUGGACCAGGAGGGGCCGACUCAGCCCACCAUUACGUAUUGUCAGAGGCAACCUAAACAGAGAAAGAGAUGGCCACCAUGUGGGACUUAGGAUAUAUAUUUUAGGAUUCUCUUUAUGUAGUACAUUCAUGUGUUUAUCUUAUUUUAUAUUUACUUUCUAUCAUGGUUUGUAUGGAACAU